GGGCCUAUAGCUCAGCUGGUUAGAGCGCACGCCUGAUAAGCGUGAAGUCGGUGGUUCGAGUCCACUUAGGCCCACCA
rnacentral:tRNA from 1 species